UAGUCCACGCCGUAAACGAUGGUCACUAGUUGUUGGGGCUUUAUGCCUCAGUGAUUAAGCGAAAGUGAUAAGUGACCCACCUGGGGAGUACGAUCGCAAGAUUGAAACUCAAAGGAAUUGACGGGGGCCCGCACAAGCGGUGGAGCAUGUGGUUUAAUUCGAUGAUACGCGAGGAACCUUACCAGGGCUUAAAUGUAAGUUGCAUAGACCAGAGAUGGUCUUUUCUUCGGACUACUUACAAGGUGCUGCAAGAUUGUCGUCAGCUCGUGCCGUGAGGUGUUGGCUUAAGUGCCACAACGAGCGCAACCCCUAUUGUUAGUUGCCAUCAUUAAGUUGGGGACUCUAGCAAGACUGCCGGCGUAAGCCGCGAGGAAGGUGGGGACGACGUCAAAUCAUCAUGGCCUUUAUGCCUAGGGCGACACACGUGCUACAAUGGUGCAUACAGAGGGUAGCGAAGCUGCGAAGUGGAGCCAAUCUCAGAAAGUGCAUCCCAGUUC
rnacentral:rRNA from 1 species